rnacentral:rRNA from 1 species
GACGGAGGAUGCAAGCGUUAUCCGGAAUUAUUGGGCGUAAAGCGUCCGUAGGCGGUUUCAAAGGUCUGUUGUUAAAGCCCACAGCUCAACUGUGGAUCGGCAAUGGAAACUGUGAGACUAGAGAGUGGUAGGGGUAGAGGGAAUUCCUAGUGUAGCGGUGAAAUGCGUAGAUAUUAGGAAGAACACCAGUGGCGAAGGCACUUUACUGGGCUAUUACUAACACUCAGAGACGAAAGCUAGGGUAGCAAAUGGG